rnacentral:rRNA from 1 species
AUGAUCUGUCGGGAACCAUCCCUGAAGAGUUGGGUGCUACGGAGCACACGCCAUCGAAACAUUCUGAAGUGUGUGACUUCAUGCUCGACGACGGACACAGAACGCAAUGAGCUCAAAGCACUAGUCUACCAAUUCAUGGCUAAUGGCAGCCUUGAAAGAUGGCUUCACCCUAAGCAACACAAUGGCACACCAAAUAGAACCCUAAGCUUACGGCUGAGGAUAUGCAUAGCCGUGGAUGUGGCCUCUGCUCUCGAUUAUCUUCACAACGAACUGACGCCGUCUUUGAUGCAUUGUGAUUUGAAGCCAAGCAACAUUCUUUUAGAUUAUGAUAUGACUGCACGUAUUGGAGACUUUGGUUCAGCAAAGUUUCUGUCGCCAGUUUUGGGUAGCCUAGAACACUUGAUCAGUUUCCGAGGAACAAUUGGAUACAUGGCACCUGAGUACGGAAUGGGUUGCCAGAUCUCAGCAGGAGGUGAUGUCUAUAGUUUUGGAGUGAUUCUACUGGAGUUGCUUACCGGAAAACGACCAACCGAUGAUAUGUUCGUGGAUGGGCUUAGCCUUUGUAAGUUUUGUCAAUCCAUGUUCCCAGACAGAGUUGCAGAGAUUCUAGAUCCUCAUGUGGCGCAUGAGGAGCAUCAGCGGUGCGAAGAAGUGGACGCGGAAGCAUGGAUGCAGCGAUAUAUUGUCCCGCUGGUUGCCCUAGGGCUGUCAUGUACCGUGGAAUCUCCCAAUGAUAGGCCUGGAAUGAAGGAUGUUUAUGCAAAACUAUCUGUUAUCAGAAGCUCUUUUCUGGAACGCCGUGAUGAUUGA